CNGGCAGACAUGGUGCUGGAAUGGUACC
rnacentral:piRNA from 1 species